AAUCAACGCUGGCGGCGUGCCUCAGACAUGCAAGUCGAACGAUUAAAGCUCUCUUCGGAGAGUGUAUAGAGUGGCGCACGGGUGAGUAACACGUAAGUAAUCUACCCUCGAGUGGGGAAUAACAACCGGAAACGGUUGCUAAUACCGCAUAAUGCAGCGGCACCGCAAGGUGACAGUUGUUAAAGAUUUAUCGCUUGAGGAGGAGCUUGCGGCAGAUUAGCUAGUUGGUAGGGUAACGGCUUACCAAGGCUACGAUCUGUAACCGGUCUAAGAGGACGGUCGGUCACACUGACACUGAAUAACGGGUCAGACUCCUACGGGAGGCAGCAGUCGGGAAUUUUGGGCAAUGGGCGAAAGCCUGACCCAGCAACGCCGCGUGAAGGAUGAAGUAUUUCGGUAUGUAAACUUCGAAAGAAUAGGAAGAAUUAAUGACGGUACUAUUUAUAAGGUCCGGCUAACUACGUGCCAGCAGCCGCGGAAUGUCGAUAUCG
rnacentral:rRNA from 1 species